rnacentral:rRNA from 1 species
UACGGAGGGUGCGAGCGUUUGUCCGGAAUCAUUGGGCGUAAAGGGCGCGUAGGUGGCCACUUCAAGCGUGCGGUGAAAGUUCGGGGCUCAACCCUGAAUCGGCCGUCGAUACUCCCGGGCUCGAGCACUGUAGAGGCAGAUGGAAUUCCGGGUGUAGCGGUGGAAUGCGUAGAGAUCCGGAAGAACACCGGUGGCGAAGGCGGCCUGCUGGGCAGUUUUGCUGACACUGAGGCGCGACAGCGUGGGGGAGCAAACAGG